rnacentral:rRNA from 1 species
GAUGAACGCUGGCGGCGUGCUUAACACAUGCAAGUCGAACGAUGAAGCCCAGCUUGCUGGGUGGAUUAGUGGCGAACGGGUGAGUAACACGUGAGUAACCUGCCCUUAACUCUGGGAUAAGCCUGGGAAACUGGGUCUAAUACCGGAUAGGAGCGCCUACCGCAUGGUGGGUGUUGGAAAGAUUUAUCGGUUUUGGAUGGACUCGCGGCCUAUCAGCUUGUUGGUGAGGUAAUGGCUCACCAAGGCGACGACGGGUAGCCGGCCUGAGAGGGUGACCGGCCACACUGGGACUGAGACACGGCCCAGACUCCUCGGGAGGCAGCAGUGGGGAAUAUUGCACAAUGGGCGAAAGCCUGAUGCAGCGACGCCGCGUGAGGGAUGACGGCCUUCGGGUUGUAAACCUCUUUCAGUAGGGAAGAAGCGAAAGUGACGGUACCUGCAGUAGAAGCACCGGCUAACUACGUG